rnacentral:rRNA from 1 species
AGUGUGUGUGUUAGUGGAAGCGUCUGGAAAGGCGCGCGAUACAGGGUGACAGCCCCGUACACAAAAAUGCACAUGCUGUGAGCUCGAUGAGUAGGGCGGGACACGUGGUAUCCUGUCUGAAUAUGGGGGGACCAUCCUCCAAGGCUAAAUACUCCUGACUGACCGAUAGUGAACCAGUACCGUGAGGGAAAGGCGAAAAGAACCCCGGCGAGGGGAGUGAAAAAGAACCUGAAACCGUGUACGUACAAGCAGUGGGAGCACGCUUAGGCGUGUGACUGCGUACCUUUUGUAUAAUGGGUCAGCGACUUAUAUUCUGUAGCAAGGUUAACCGAAUAGGGGAGCCGAAGGGAAACCGAGUCUUAACUGGGCGUUAAGUUGCAGGGUAUAGACCCGAAACCCGGUGAUCUAGCCAUGGGCAGGUUGAAGGUUGGGUAACACUAACUGGAGGACCGAACCGACUAAUGUUGAAAAAUUAGCGGAUGACUUGUGGCUGGGGGUGAAAGGCCAAUCAAACCGGGAGAUAGCUGGUUCUCCCCGAAAG